rnacentral:rRNA from 1 species
UACGAAGGGGGCUAGCGUUGCUCGGAAUCACUGGGCGUAAAGCGCACGUAGGCGGCUUGUUAAGUCAGGGGUGAAAUCCUGGAGCUCAACUCCAGAACUGCCUUUGAUACUGGCGAGCUCGAGUCCGGAAGAGGUGAGUGGAACUGCGAGUGUAGAGGUGAAAUUCGUAGAUAUUCGCAAGAACACCAGUGGCGAAGGCGGCUCACUGGCCCGGUACUGACGCUGAGGUGCGAAAGCGUGGGGAGCAAACAGG